CCCACGCACAAAGUUUUUUCGGCAUCUAUCUAAAGCAAUCAGCGGUGGGGCGGGAUUUUUGGAUCGGCGAUUGAGGCGAUCGAGAUGAGUUAGCCGUUCCCGGCUACCGUCGCCGGCGGGUCCGCCAUGCCGGACCUCCUUUCCCUGAGGAAGAUGGCCACGCAUGGGGAGCAAUGGGAAGGAGAAGGUGCAGUACUCGUCCUCCGACUAUUCAGUAUGAUCCUACAACAGGCCACAGCGGCCCGCUCUAGAGACCAUCCCGGACCCGGAGCAGCAUGUUUAAUAAUCCUCUAUUGAAUUCUCGCUUGUACAAUUCUAUUGGUAGAAAAGAUGUAUGGGCUUUAUCUUCUACUUCCUCCGUCCCAUAAUGUAA